ACUCCUACGGAAGGCAGCAGUGGGGAAUAUUGCACAAUGGGGGAAACCCUGAUGCAGCGACGCCGCGUGAGCGAUGAAGUAUUUCGGUAUGUAAAGCUCUAUCAGCAGGGAAGAAAAUGACGGUACCUGACUAAGAAGCACCGGCUAAAUACGUGCCAGCAGCCGCGGUAAU
rnacentral:rRNA from 1 species